rnacentral:rRNA from 1 species
UACAGAGGUCUCAAGCGUUGUUCGGAUUCAUUGGGCGUAAAGGGUGCGUAGGCGGCGCGGUAAGUCGGGUGUGAAAUUUCGAGGCUUAACUUCGAAACUGCAUUCGAUACUGCCGUGCUUGAGGACUGGAGAGGAGACUGGAAUCUACGGUGUAGCGGUGAAAUGCGUAGAUAUCGUAAGGAAGACCAGUGGCGAAGGCGGGUCUCUGGACAGUUACUGACGCUGAGGCACGAAGGCCAGGGGAGCAAACGGG